GGAUGAUGAGGAUAAAAAAAGGAAUUUAAUGUAUAUCUGUACUCAACAAUUAAUCAUUGCUAAUAAAAAACGAUUCUAAGCAGAGUUCGGUCUUCGGUUAUACAUGUUUUAAAGAGCCGUAGGUAAUAUUUAUGAUUUUCGUCAAAAUUCGAUAUCAAAAUGUUAAUAAAAAAAUAUAACAUUAAACUCAACGUUUUUUUUUUGGCCACUAUGUUACAACCUAUACUGAAACUCCUGUUAAAUUUUGAAUCAUU